UUUUUGGGGUGUAUUGUUCACCGUCAUAGAAAUUGACAGCGACAUGGGAAAGUUACUGGUAGCUCUCAUCCUCGUUCUUUGCGUGGUCGCCAUGGCAACCAUAGUGUCCGCUAGAUGUUACAUCCAUCCACCGUGUUCACAUAGAUUCCACUGCUCGGCGACCCAGUACUGUAAACUCACCAAUGGACAGUUCGGUAUAUGCUGUGACAGAAGGCGGGGCUGAAAAUUGGGAUCACUACCUAUGGAAUAUGGUUGCGUUUCGACAAAUGUUGUUUUCUACCUUUAUUGCGAAUAAACCAUACAACCAAGCA